rnacentral:rRNA from 1 species
UGGUGGAGCGAUUUGUCUGGUUAAUUCCGAUAACGAACGAGACUCUGGCCUAUUAAAUAGUGCGCGGAUCAGCCCAGUCCGCUGUACUUCUUAGAGGGACAAGCGGCAUAUAGCCGCACGAAAUUGAGCAAUAACA